CCUUGAAGGUAAUAACCACAUGACAGUUAUUGAAACCCCCCAAGUGUCAGAUGCUUUACCCACAGUCUCUCAUUUAAUCCUCAACCACCCUGUGAGUCAACUCUUAUCAUCUCUACUUUACAGAUGAGGAAAUUGCAACUCAGAGAUUAUGUGACAUCUCCAAGUCAAAUAUCCAGAGAAUGGCCAAGCUGGGUGAGAACUGAAGGUCGUGCCCCUCUGGACUCCUGGUCACACAUUCUGGGCAGGGCCCCAGCUUCCUAACUGUUCUGGUGGAAAGCCCUCUCUUCAGCUGUGGGGAAACAAGAUCCCCUUUCCCCAGGGCACACCUGUCGAUGUGGUUUAGACAACUUUUCUGGGAGGCAGUUUCUCCCAAGUCUGCAGAAGAAAAGGUGGGAAGGAGCAUUGGACAAGACAGAUAGUCACUCUUGGACUCUGUGCCUCUUCAUGGAUGGAAGGCCUAUGAAGAAUGUCUGUGGAUUAGUCAUUUCUUCUAUUUAUGUGGACUGGAUUUAUCACCCCAGCGAGCCAAGCAAGGACCCUUAAUACCAUCUUGGAAUUCCCAGGAUCUCAGAGAGGAGCUAAUGCCCUGGGUGAAAUUAUUAGGCCAUUAUGUGGAAAGCAGGAAGGAAUGCAAAAGCACAUAUGACUCUAGCUUGUGUGUAUUGGAUGGGUCCAAGUAUCUUCAUCAGGACCAGUCCACAGCCCUGGGAAGAGUGGGCUAUUACAUGGCAAGGGAGGAAGGAGGCUGACUCCAUAUGGCCUUCCUGGUAGGAGGUGGUGAUUCAGCUGGCAGGAUGGGAAUGUUAUUAACAUUGACACCAUAGCUGUGUCUCUCUCCAGUAAACCAUUUCUGUGAGGGCAAGAGAGGGCUGGUGUUUUCACAGCGCUGCUGUUGAGAACCCUGUCCAUGUUCCUUAUACCAGGGGCUGCACAACUCAAUCCUCUCAGGGAGUAAUGUCAGGAAGAGCUCUCUUUCCUGUGAAAAAGAGUAUGAGCCCUUGACUCAGGUAAAGAAAGGUAUUUAAUCCUACCUGCCUCCUUGAAAGCAAAGUAAAAGUGAACCAACUAUUCUUAGCCUCAUUUCUGGUGUAAUCAUCUUUCCUCACUCCAUCUUUCCUAUCUGAGUUGCCUGCAAAGAAUAUUUAGGUCUGUAUUUCCAGGUAUAUAUGGUCCUACAGUGUAUGUGCUUUUAUGGUAAGUCACACCACCUCUCACAGGGAAGGAAAGAAAGCGGGGAGGUAGGAAGGGAAGGUCACCUGGAGGAUUUUCUGAGUGGCAGAUUUGAAACUUAACUGUGAGUCUUGAGUUCCACUUUAAUUUACUUAAAUACUGGAAGGAAUUUAUUCCCUUCCAUUUAUCCAGAACAAGAGGGACAUAAUAAAUAAUUGUUAAAUUCUUGUUUACUAAAGACUUAAAUUCAGGAGUUAGGAGAACACUUGAAGGAGUGUUUCCCAGAUACCUGUGGAGGGGAUGAAGGGGAGGGGAUGGAAGAAAGGACAAAGGGAGAAGAGAAGGAGGGAGAAAUGAGC